rnacentral:rRNA from 1 species
AACGAACGCUGGCGGCAGGCCUAACACAUGCAAGUCGAGCGAGGACUUCGGUCCUAGCGGCGGACGGGUGAGUAACGCGUGGGAACGUGCCCUUUGCUUCGGAAUAGCCCUGGGAAACUGGGAGUAAUACCGGAUGAGCCCUUUGGGGGAAAGAUUUAUCGGCGAAGGAUCGGCCCGCGUUGGAUUAGGUAGUUGGUGGGGUAAUGGCCUACCAAGCCGACGAUCCAUAGCUGGUUUGAGAGGAUGAUCAGCCACACUGGGACUGAGACACGGCCCAGACUCCUACGGGAGGCAGCAGUGGGGAAUCUUAGACAAUGGGGGAAACCCUGAACGAGCCAUGCCGCGUGAGCGAUGAAGGCCUUAGGGUUGUAAAGCUCUUUCAGCUGGGAAGAUAAUGACGGUACCAGCAGAAGAAGCCCCGGCUAACUCCGUG